rnacentral:lncRNA from 1 species
GAUGUGUUCUCAGUCGUACGGGACUAAAAAAUUUCAUACCGAACGAGGUUGAGAAUUGGUUUAGUUACAUUCAUACCGAACGAGGUAUUGAGAUAGUUUAUAAUUAUAGUGCUCAUUACCAGAUGGAGUAUUAAGACGGUUUAUAAUUAUGAUGUCCAUUACCGGACAGCGUAUGGAGACGUCCAAUGAAUUGUAAAAGAAAUAUUUUGUACAUUCACGUGUAGCGAGGAUCCCUAUAGGCC